GAUCCUGGCUCAGGAUGAACGCUAGCGACAGGCUUAACACAUGCAAGUCGAGGGGCAGCACAGGGUAGCAAUACUUGGGUGGCGACCGGCGCACGGGUGAGCAACGCGUAUGCAACUUACCUAUCAGAGGGGGAUAGCCCGGCGAAGGUCGGAUUAAUACCCCAUGAAACAGGGGUCCCGCAUGGGAAUAUUUGUUAAAGAUUCAUCGCUGAUAGAUAGGCAUGCGUUCCAUUAGG
rnacentral:rRNA from 1 species